rnacentral:lncRNA from 1 species
AAAUGUUUUUAAGAUUUCAUCGUAGCACUUGAUGAGCUCUCUUGUCAACAAGUUCUGGAAAUAUUUACUGGAUGAUAAUACAAUCAACCCUUUACUUCCUCCUCUUCAAAUAAGCCAUACAGAAUAAAGGAAAAAUCUACAGAAUAUUGGCAAUUGGGAUGACCGUUGGCCUCUACCUUGCCUAGAGAGGAAAGAAAGGCCCAAGGACCUUGAGAUUUCAUGUGCAGCAGCAUCUGAUGGGCCGGUUACCUUCUUUGCCCUGCACAUUUUCUCUAUUCCUCUCCCCACAGCUCUCUGCCCUGAGAGGUUGACCUGGAUGAGCUGCACCCACAAGCUCAUUUGUCCUCAGGUUUCCAGUUGAGUUCCACCAAUGGGAGGCACCAUCAGGAGAUGCAGACUUCAAGAAGAGUGAAGCUGGGAUGUUUACUUCCCCAACUCGCUCUACCGAGCUGCGUGUGAGCUGGCUGGGUACUUCGGUGAAGUUUGCAGCUCCCAUCGGCGCCCUUUUCUACAUCAGCCUCCGUAGCUGCCCAACUUUCUUUUGCCAUUGCAGCCAGUUGAGUGGCAAAACUGGCCCCCUCAAUAUUUUACUGUUCCUUGUUGGCUUCAUUUUAGCCUGUCCACACUUUUGUCAAUUACCUUUUCUUUAAACUCUCAAUCACCUAUUUGAACAUGCCACCGGGGAUGCUGCUUUGAUCCUGCCUGACAACCUUGGUUUCUAGUUUAAUAUUUUCUCCUCUCCCCUCCGCCCCACACUAUGCUGGGUUGAAGCAUAAAGGAAAUAAAAGAUUGCCUUC